rnacentral:rRNA from 1 species
GAUGAACGCUGGCGGCGUGCUUAAUACAUGCAAGUCGAACGAAGCAUUUAGGACAGAUUACUUCGGUUUGAAGUUCUUUAUGACUGAGUGGCGGACGGGUGAGUAACGCGUGGGUAACCUGCCUUUUACUGGGGGAUAGCAUCUGGAAACGGCUGGUAAUACCGCAUAAGCGCACAUUGUUGCAUGACAUGGUGUGAAAAACUCCGGUGGUAUAAGAUGGACCCUCGUCUGAUUAGCUAGUUGGUGAGAUAACAGCCCACCAAGGCGACGAUCAGUAGCCGACCUGAGAGGGUGACCGGCCACACUGGGACUGAGACACGGCCCAGACUCCUACGGGAGGCAGCAGUGGGGAAUAUUGCAAAAUGGAGGAAACUCUGAUGCAGCGACGCCGCGUGAGUGAAGAAGUAAUUCGUUAUGUAAAGCUCUAUCAGCAGGGAAGAUAGUGACGGUACCUGACUAAGAAGCUCCGGCUAACUACGUG